rnacentral:rRNA from 1 species
AACGAACGCUGGCGGCAGGCUUAACACAUGCAAGUCGAACGCACCGCAAGGUGAGUGGCAGACGGGUGAGUAACACGUGGGGAUCUGCCCAAUGGUACGGAAUAGCUCCGGGAAACUGGAAUUAAUACCGUAUGUGCCCUUCGGGGGAAAGAUUUAUCGCCAUUGGAUGAACCCGCGUCGGAUUAGCGAGUUGGUGUGGUAAAGGCGCACCAAGGCGACGAUCCGUAGCUGGUCUGAGAGGAUGAGCAGCCACCCUGGGACUGAGACACGGCCCAGACUCCUACGGGAGGCAGCAGUGGGGAAUAUUGGACAAUGGGCGCAAGCCUGAUCCAGCCAUGCCGCGUGAGUGAUGAAGGCCCUAGGGUUGUAAAGCUCUUUCGCCGACGAAGAUAAUGACGGUAGUCGGAGAAGAAGCCCCGGCUAACUUCGUGCCAGCCGCCGCCGUAA